CAGUAGUUCAGUUCAGGAAUGUCACUUCUCCUUGGGACAGAUCCAACAGGAGUUUUCCCAGGAGUGUGAAGACAUGACGGAACAGAAAUUGAUUGAAGUAUAUGUUAAAUCAAAAGGCACAGGAAGAGAUAAGCUACCAUCUAUAGAAUUUGAAGAGUGCGACAUUUCAAAUAUUCCAAUUACUGAAACAAUUCAGAAAGAUAAAACGAAGAAAAAGAAGAAAGCCAAAAA